GUGGGGAAUAUUGGACAAUGGGCGAAAGCCUGAUCCAGCCAUGCCGCGUGUGUGAAGAAGGUCUUCGGAUUGUAAAGCACUUUAAGUUGGGAGGAAGGGUAGUAACCUAAUACGUUGCUACUUUGACGUUACCGACAGAAUAAGCACCGGCUAACUUCGUGCCAGCAGCCGCGGUAAUACGAAGGGUGCAAGCGUUAAUCGGAAUUACUGGGCGUAAAGCGCGCGUAGGUGGUUCAGUAAGUUGGAAGUGAAAUCCCCGGGCUCAACCUGGGAACUGCCUCCAAAACUGCAUGACUAGAGUACGGUAGAGGGUAGUGGAAUUUCCUGUGUAGCGGUGAAAUGCGUAGAUAUAGGAAGGAACACCAGUGGCGAAGGCGACUACCUGGACUGAUACUGACACUGAGGUGCGAAAGCGUGGGGAGCAAACAGGAUUAGAUACCCCGGUAGUCC
rnacentral:rRNA from 1 species